UACGUAGGUGGCUAGCGUUGUCCGGAAUUAUUGGGCGUAAAGAGCUCGUAGGCGGUCUGUCGCGUCGGCUGUGAAAUCCCGAGGCUCAACCUCGGGUCUGCAGUCGAUACGGGCAAACUAGAGUAUUGCAGGGGAGACUGGAAUUCCUGGUGUAGCGGUGAAAUUCGUAGAUAUCAGGAGGAACACCAGUGGCGAAGGCGGCUUUCUGGACGGUAACUGACGCUGGAGAACGCGAAAGCGUGGGGAGCAAACAGG
rnacentral:rRNA from 1 species